rnacentral:lncRNA from 1 species
GAUCUUUGAUGACAAAUUUCCUCUGUGUUUUCAUAUGGCUUUAUCAGAAUUUGGAGAGGCUUCCAGAUUACUCAUGUAACUUGUGAGAGAUGCUUAAUCUGCAGAGGAAAUAAUCAGCCCAGCUGGGUCUUGGCACUCGCCUUCCUGCCUCUCACCUCUGGCGUUUGGAAGCCAGGCCCGAGAGCCCGCUGAGGAUGCGGAGGAGGCAGCAGUGGGAAUAGACGCCGCCGUUGCACCGCGGUGAGUCUGUCUCCAGGAUACUCUGUCAGGCAUCUUCAGGGUGCUUUCUGAGAGCGUUUGGAAAACUUGGAGAACAGCUCAAGAAUCUGGUUAAUUAACUUUACGCUGGUAAUCAGAAGAUUGGUUAUUGG